rnacentral:rRNA from 1 species
AGUAUAAGCAAUUAUACCGUGAAACUGCGAAUGGCUCAUUAAAUCAGUUAUCGUUUAUUUGAUAGUACCUUACUACUUGGAUAACCGUGGUAAUUCUAGAGCUAAUACAUGCUAAAAACCCCGACUUCGGAAGGGGUGUAUUUAUUAGAUAAAAAACCAACGCCCUUCGGGGCUUCUUGGUGAUUCAUGAUAACUUUACGGAUCGCAUGGCCUUGCGCCGGCGACGGUUCAUUCAAAUUUCUGCCCUAUCAACUUUCGAUGGUAAGGUAUUGGCUUACCAUGGUUUCAACGGGUAACGGGGAAUUAGGGUUCGAUUCCGGAGAGGGAGCCUGAGAAACGGCUACCACAUCCAAGGAAGGCAGCAGGCGCGCAAAUUACCCAAUCCCGACACGGGGAGGUAGUGACAAUAAAUACUGAUACAGGGCUCUUUUGGGUCUUGUAAUUGGAAUGAGUACAAUUUAAACCUCUUAACGAGGAACAAUUGGAGGGCAAGUCUGGUGCCAGCAGCCGCGGUAAUUCCAGCUCCAAUAGCGUAUAUUAAAGUUGUUGCAGUUAAAAAGCUCGUAGUUGAAACUUGGGUCUGGCUGGCAGGUCCGCCUCACCGCGUGUACUUGUCCGGCCGGGCCUUCCUUCUGGAGAACCUCAUGCCCUUCACUGGGCGUGUUGGGGACCAGGACUUUUACUUUGAAAAAAUUAGAGUGUUCAAAGCAGGCCUUUGCUCGAAUACGUUAGCAUGGAAUAAUAGAAUAGGACGUGCGGUCCUAUUUUGUUGGUUUCUAGGACCGCCGUAAUGAUUAAUAGGGACAGUCGGGGGCAUCAGUAUUCAAUUGUCAGAGGUGAAAUUCUUGGAUUUAUUGAAGACUAACUACUGCGAAAGCAUUUGCCAAGGAUGUUUUCAUUAAUCAGUGAACGAAAGUUAGGGGAUCGAAGACGAUCAGAUACCGUCGUAGUCUUAACCGUAAACUAUGCCGACUAGGGAUCGGGCGAUGUUCUUUUUCUGACUCGCUCGGCACCUUACGAGAAAUCAAAGUUUUUGGGUUCUGGGGGGAGUA